GUUCACAAAACUGGAGACAGUUUUAGAAGACGACAGCAAGAAAAGAGAAAGAGAAUGAAGAGAGAUCAACCAGCUUUCACUCCUGGUGGAAUAUUAAACCCUCAUGCCUUGGGUUCAAGAAAUUCACCAGGUUCUCAAGUAGCCAGUAAUCCGAGACAAGCAGCCUAUGAAAUGAGGAUGCAGAAUAAUUCUAGUCCUUCAGUAUCUCCUAAUACGAGUUUCACUUCUGAUGGCUCCCCGUCUCCGAUAGGAGGAAUUAAGCGAAAAGCAGAAGACAGUGACAGUGAACCUGAACCAGAGGAUAACGUCAGGU